rnacentral:rRNA from 1 species
CCUACGGGUGGCAGCAGUAGGGAAUUUUCCACAAUGGGGGCAACCCUGAUGGAGCAACGCCGCGUGCAGGAUGAAUGCCUUCGGGUUGUAAACUGCUUUUAUUAGUGACGAUUAUGACGGUAACUAAUGAAUAAGGACCUGCUAACUACGUGCCAGCAGCCGCGGUCAUACGUAGGGUCCAAGCGUUAUCCGGAAUUACUGGGCGUAAAGAGUUGCGUAGGUGGCAGAGUAAGUAGAUAGUGAAAGCGUGUGGCUCAACCAUACAUCCAUUAUCUAAACUGCUCAGCUAGAGGACGAGAGAGGUAGAUGGAAUUCCUAAUGUAGGGGUAAUAUCCGUAGAUAUUAGGAGGAACACCGAUGGCGUAAGCAGUCUACUGGCUCGUUCCUGACACUAAGGCACGAAAGCGUGGGGAGCGAACGGGAUUAGAUACCCCGGUAGU